CCAAAAAUAAAGAAUUUAAAAUUCCACGCUGAACUCACUCUCACCGUCUCGCAACUUCAUGCUUAGAACCCUAGCAACACUGUGACCCACUCUACUCUCGUGUGAUGGUUCAGAGUGUGUUUUCACACUCUCAUGCAGCGGUUCACGCUCUCACUCUCUCUCACGGUGGUUCACACUCGCAUUGUGGUUCAGAGUGUGUUCUCAUUCUCUCUCACACGAUGGUUCACGCUCUCACUCUCACGGAGGUGCUCUAUCAAGGUCGAGUUUACUUCUCACUUUAGUCGAAAGAAGGACUCUUUUGUAUCUAGCAGUGUCUCGAGCCUACCCAAAGGUUAAUAGGUAGUAUUAACUUCAAUGGAGCCAUCCAAAGGAAACAUCAAAGGGAGAAGAAAGGUGACAGAAAAAAAAAAAAUAGGAAACAAGAAGUUAUCUUAGAUGGAACUUGGACAUGAAACGCGUGUUGGUUGAAGUACUAAGAGAUCAAAGAAAUCUGGGCAAUAAGAGCGGCAAAA